rnacentral:lncRNA from 1 species
AGCCAUAUAUACAUGCUUAUUAGACUAUGAACCAUACAUUUACUUUUUACUGCUUAUGAGCAUUGAGUGUGGUCAAGCUGUGUAGACCCUUAGGAGCUUGUCAUGCGGUUAAAAUAAAGAUCCACUUGCACAUUCACUCAUACAUGCUACUUCUACUCCGGAAGUACGCAUCCACAUACAUCCACUCAAUUCCAUCUCCAGAUUCACCUAAAAUUAUUCUACUCCUAAUCCGGGAGGGAAUAGCCAAAAACAUUCUCCUAUUUCUGUUUUUCCCUAUGAAAUAAAUGCUUGAGUUAUCUUGGUUACUACCACUUGCUAUAUUAUUUCAGGAGAUGAGUGCUCUAAAAAAGAAGAGAAAAAAAUGAGGAAAUAAAAAGGGGCAAGUGCCCGAAACCUCGAAGAAAAGAAAAAGUGAGACGAGAGGUAAAAAUGGACAAGUGUGUGACAGUAGAAUUAGGGGUACAAGAUACCCACCUGAGAGAAAUGAAAAAGAAAAUAUAGACCAUCUCAUUCUCCUCAAAAAGUUUCAAAGUGCAAGAAAGGUAUGUAACCCCUUAAAAGAGCAAAAGUAGAAUUAGACUUUCACCAUUAUUAUCACCAUACACCAUUCAUUCACCACACAUGCACAUCUUGAUUUGACUUAUUGACUUGUUUCUCUGGAUCCAUGGUUUGACUAUGCAAUAAAUGUCUUGUAAGUAUGUAUGCUUUAUCUCCCACCUAUGAGCUCGAGAUAUCAAGCCUUAUUAGAGUAGAGUGAGAGAGAAGGCAAUAUCACUAUGCCUCAUACAUACCACAUACUUUGAGAGAAGGCAUAUACCAUUAUUGCCUUGGAAAGGAUCCACUAAUACCACAAA